GAAGCAGGAGGGACCACCCUCCAAGGCUAAAUACUACCUAGUGACCGAUAGCGUAUAGUACCGUGAGGGAAAGGUGAAAAGAACCCCGGGAGGGGAGUGAAAUAGAACCUGAAACCCUGCACUUACAAGCUGUGGAAGCACAUUUCUUGUGUGACCGCGUACUUUUUGUAGAACGGGCCAACGAGUUACGUUAAGUAGCAAGGUUAAGCACUUAAGGUGCGGAGCCGUAGCGAAAGCGAGUUUUAACUGAGCGUUCAGUUACUUGACGUAGACCCGAAACCGGGCGACCUACCCAUGAGCAGGAUGAAGCGAAAGUAAAAUUUCGUGGAGGUCCGAACCCACGAGCGUUGAAAAGCUCGGGGAUGACUUGUGGGUAGCGGUGAAAUUCCAAUCGAGCCCGGAGAUAGCUGGUUCUCCCCGAAAUAGCUUUAGGGCUAGCCUCAAGGUGAGAGAUACGGAGGUAGAGCACUGAAUGUCCUAGGGGGUAUUGCACCUACCGAAGACUAUCAAACUCCGAAUGCCGUCAUCUUAUACUUGGGAGUCAGACUGUGGGUGAUAAGAUUCAUAGUCGAAAGGGCAACAGCCCAGAUCGUCAGCUAAGGUCCCUAAAUGUAAGUUAAGUGGUAAAGGAUGUGGGAUUGCACAGACAACCAGGAUGUUGGCUUAGAAGCAGCCACUCAUUCAAAGAGUGCGUAAUAGCUCACUGGUCGAGUGAUCCUGCGCCGAAGAUUUCCGGGGCUAAAACUUACUACCGAAGCUACGGCAUCAGUAAUGAUGGGUAGGGGAGCUUCCCAUACGGGUUGAAGCAUGACCGUAAGGACAUGUGGACAGUAUGGGAGUGAGAAUGUUGGCAUGAGUAGCGAGAUGUGGGUGAGAAUCCCACAGGCCGUAAACCCAAGGUUUCCAGGGGAAGGUUCGUCCGCCCUGGGUUAGUCGGGACCUAAGCUGAGGCCGAAAGGCGUAGGUGAUGGACAACAGGUUGAUAUUCCUGUACUACCGAUAACCGUUUGAGAGAAGGGAUGACACAGUAGGAUAAGCUAAGCACACUGUUGGUUAUGUGUGCCCAAGCAUUGAGGCAGUCAAAGUAGGCAAAUCCGCUUUGAUAAUGCUGGGAUGUGAUGGGGAGCGAAAUUUAGUAGCGAAGUAGCUGAUUUCACACUGUCAAGAAAAGUCUCUAUCGAGGUUAAAGGUACCCGUACCGCAAACCGACACAGGUGGGUGAGGAGAGUAUCCUAAGGCCAGCGAGAGAACUGUUGUUAAGGAACUCGGCAAAAUGACCCCGUAACUUAGGGAUAAGGGGUGCCACCAUCAGGUGGCCGCAGAGAAUAGGCCCAAGCGACUGUUUACCAAAAACAUAGGUUUCUGCUAAGUCGCAAGACGAUGUAUAGGAGCUGACGCCUGCCCGGUGCUGGAAGGUUAAGGGGAUCUGUUAGAGCAAUCGAAGCAGUGAACUUAAGCCCCAGUAAACGGCGGCCGUAACUAUAACGGUCCUAAGGUAGCGAAAUUCCUUGUCGGGUAAGUUCCGACCCGCACGAAAGGCGUAACGAUUUGGGCACUGUCUCAACAACAGACUCGGUGAAAUUGUAAUUCCGGUGAAGAUGCCGGAUACCUGCGACAGGACGGAAAGACCCCAUGGAGCUUUACUGUAGCUUGACAUUGGGUCUUGGUACUACAUGUACAGGAUAGGUG
rnacentral:rRNA from 1 species